rnacentral:lncRNA from 1 species
UUUGGGCUUAGCUUCGGCGGCCCGAUCUCUUCUUUCUUACGAUAUUCCUCCUCAUCGAUCUGGAUACGAUAAUUAUGAUCAUCCUGUAGUUAACCCUAAAGUAGGAUACGAACAUGACCGUCGUGAUGGAUACUACCAUGACCGUGACCAUCAUGAUGCACCUUAUGGUGGUGGUGCUGGUGGAGGAUAUGGAGCUGGAGCUGGAGCUGGCUCAUCUCUUGGAGGCUCUGGAUAUGGAAGUGGAGGAGGUGGUGGUUCUGGAUAUGGAGGUGUAGGAAACCACGAGGUUGGUUAUGGUAGUGGUGGAGGGGGUGGAUAUGGAGCUGGAGUUGGCUCUGACCUUGGUGGUAGCGGAUACGGAAGCGGUGGUGGUGGAGGCAGUGGAGGAGGAUACGGUGAUUUAGGAGGACGUGGAAAAGGGUACGGUAGCGGUGGAGGUGGAGGAAGUGGAUAUGGAGGUAGAGGAGACCAUGGAGUUGGUUAUGGAAGUGGUGGAGGUGGAGGAUAUGGAAGUGGAGUAGGUGGUGGUGCAGGAGUGGUAGACCAUGGUGUAGGUUAUGGGAGUGGAGGAGGAGGUGGGGCUGGUAGUGGUUAUGGUGGUUCCAAAGGAUAUGGAGGUGGAAGCGGCGGCGGUGGGGGAGCCGGUUAUGGUGGUGGAGCACAUGGAAGUGGAUAUGGAAGUGGUGGUGGAGCUGGAAGUGGUGAAGAAGGAGGAUAUGAUGGUGGAUAUGCACCGUAAACAAAGAAAAGAAAAGAAAAAGCUCAAAGUUUUAUGGCUAAAAUGAGAAUGCUUACCCUAAUAUCAUCAAUGUGUGUGUGUGUUAGCAAAAAAAAAAAAUAAAAGAAUUUGGGUAA